ensembl:snRNA U6 U6 spliceosomal RNA
GCACUCACUUUGGCAGCAUAUAAACUAAGCACUGGGAUGAUACAGAGAAGAUUAGCACAGUCCCCAUGCGAGGGCGACACGCAAAUUCGCAAAGCAUUACAUAUUUUU